UACGAAGGGGGCUAGCGUUGUUCGGAAUUACUGGGCGUAAAGCGCACGUAGGCGGCUUUCUAAGUCGGGGGUGAAAUCCUGGAGCUCAACUCCAGAACUGCCCUUGAUACUGGCGGUCUCGAGUCCGGGAGAGGUGAGUGGAACUGCGAGUGUAGAGGUGAAAUUCGUAGAUAUUCGCAAGAACACCAGUGGCGAAGGCGGCUCACUGGCCCGGUACUGACGCUGAGGUGCGAAAGCGUGGGGAGCAAACAGGG
rnacentral:rRNA from 1 species